AGAAUACAUCCUUAAAUUUUUGUUGAAUUAUUUAAAAAAUGAAAAAUUUUAUGAAUAUUUUUGUAAAAAAGUCCAAUUUUGCAGUUUCUUUUUUAUUUGAAUUUUUUCAUUAUGUUAAAAAAAAUUAUUGGAUGUUAAAGAAUAGACCUCAAGGUAUGUCCAAUAAAAUUUUUGCAACAAAAUAUCAAAAAGCUGGCAAGUAGCGACUGAUUUUGUGUAGGGGGAUCCAGUGGACCCCAUGUGACCGCUAUAUUAUUAUCUGGAAGUGUGAGCUCAACGGAUUAACUGUAGCUUCGCUACACAGGUAGCAAAUUAUUUUUCAACCCUGACUUUAUCUACAUGUAAUAUUUUCUAAAAACAUUCUUUUUGUAAAAUCACGUCGAUAGCUCGACGCACGGAUACCAUCAUCUGCAUUAUAACAAGUGAUUACAGUCAAGCGAAUUUGUCAGCGAGAGUUUUCGCCUUUUCGCGAAAGUUGACCGUAGGUUGUUCUCGCGCUUGUCAAGCGCAUCCUACGUCAGAGAGUGAUUCAAAAUCCGAAAGAGCGACACAGGAACGUAGACUUGGGUCUUCGUCGGCGACUUCUCGCGGCCGCUGCCGUCGGGGCAAACACGUUCCGAUCCGCAGAUGCCUUUCGAUCUGUAAGCCCGCGUAGUCUAGCGUAGUUUUUCGAUCGUAGCGAGAUUAGCAGAGCGCAACGUCUUACACGGCGAACGUUUCUUCCCUGGUCCCCUUCCUCUCCCUCUCGACGCAUAAAAAGACUGUUUUAGAACUCGCGGGGACGACUCGUACGGCGAUGGAUACCAAAAUUCCCGACGGACCACCACCUGGCGUCGACCUUCACCCGACGUCGAAACGUCCGCACGUCGUCCUCGGGGUGAGCUCCACCGCGACGCAGGCGCAGGCCCACCCCGACGACGGGGUGCACUACCUACAGCAAGUAUUCCUGGUGAGUAUCGCGCGCGCGGUUACGAUGUGUGCAAGUACCGCGUUGCGUUGCGUUGCAUUGCGUUGCACCCUUCUCAGACUGUCCUCGAGGGGUGUCCGCGGCAUGCCCCGUUGUUUGACAAAUUGGACCGGUCAUGCCAGUCGGCCGUGUCUCGCUGUGCAGAAUACCUGCAGGGAACUAUGGACGAUCCCGGAAGGUGCGAUCGCGACGACGGCGGCAAACUUCCUCUCCCAUGACCAGUCGAAGUACAUUUCAUUUGGCGUAGUAACUCAGGAUCUUUCGCUCACCCGCGCGGGCCAAAGUCAAUUAUGAUCUGGCACUUUAUAGAGCAACUGCUGCAGAAGGGCAUUAAGUGGCUAUUUAACAGAUAUACUUGGAGACAGAUGCCACGAAGCAGGAGGCGUCACCGCUCUCGCAGCCACUCGAGAACACGUUCACAUUCUGUAGGCUCCCCACAAUACGAGCAUAAACGCAGACGUAUCGAUUAUGAGAGUCCACAGAGCAAGGGAACCUAU